GCCUGCACUCAAGGUCCUUUAAAUGGAGCAAUAUCUCCACUUGGUGGACAUUUACCAUUAAUGCAGGUAUAACAGAAUUUUUCCAAGAGCUCUAGUUGUCAUGUGACAUAAUCUUA